rnacentral:rRNA from 1 species
UACGUAGGGACCUAGCGUUGUCCGGAUUUAUUGGGCGUAAAGAGCUCGUAGGCGGCCGUUCGCGUCGGGUGUGAAAGCUCAGAGCUCAACUCUGAGAGGCCAUUCGAUACGGGACGGCUAGAGGUAGGUAGGGGAAGCGGAAUUCCUGGUGUAGAGGUGAAAUUCGUAGAUAUCAGGAGGAACAUCUGCGGCGAAGGCGGCUUCCUGGCCCAUUACUGACGUUCAGGUACGAAAGCGUGGGUAGCAAACAGG